rnacentral:rRNA from 1 species
GAUGAACGCUGGCGGCGUGCCUAAUACAUGCAAGUCGAGCGAACAGACGAGGAGCUUGCUCCUUUGACGUUAGCGGCGGACGGGUGAGUAACACGUGGAUAACCUACCUAUAAGACUGGGAUAACUUCGGGAAACCGGAGCUAAUACCGGAUAACAUGUUGAACCGCAUGGUUCAACAGUGAAAGACGGUCUUGCUGUCACUUAUAGAUGGAUCCGCGCCGCAUUAGCUAGUUGGUAAGGUAACGGCUUACCAAGGCAACGAUGCGUAGCCGACCUGAGAGGGUGAUCGGCCACACUGGAACUGAGACACGGUCCAGACUCCUACGGGAGGCAGCAGUAGGGAAUCUUCCGCAAUGGGCGAAAGCCUGACGGAGCAACGCCGCGUGAGUGAAGAAGGUCUUCGGAUCGUAAAACUCUGUUAUUAGGGAAGAACAAAUGUGUAAGUAACUAUGCACGUCUUGACGGUACCUAAUCAGGAAGCCACGGCUAACUACGUG